GGCUUCUUGGUCUAGUGGUAUGAUUCCUGCUUUGGGUUCUCACUCAUCACCAGCGUCUGUUCAGCAGCGCCGGCGAGCAACGAGUGACACGCCGUAUGCAGGAGGUCCCCGGUUCGAUCCCGGGAGGAGCCC